GCCAGCCUGCACCAGCCUGUGCGUCCAUCUCAGUGUUGGCUGCGCUACCUGCGGACUGAAUGGAGACAGGGAUGCUGGGAGCGUCAUUGGUGACCUCGCAUUGCCGGAUGGUGAUAAGUGUUGGCUGCGCUACCUGCGGACUGAAUGGAGACAGGGAUGCUGGGAGCGUCAUUGGUGACCUCGCAUUGCCGGAUGGUGAUAAGCAGGCCAGGCAGUAUCUCAGUGUUGCCUCCACUGUGCUGGUGACGAGCGGAGCAGGGGCAGGGGGCAGCGUGACGGCUUACACGGGACAGCUAGGCAAGUAAGCUAGUGGGGGCAUGGCCAUGAAGGGACGGGUUACCAUGAACUGAAUCCUGCACUGUGUCCUGUGUGACCCUGUGUGAGGCUGCCUGCACCACCCACCAACAUCGCUUCCUUCACUACCACCACAAGCACGCCUGCCACCAUCACCUCACCAGCAUCAGGUUAGUGACGGGACGGGUAGGGCGGGACGUGAAAGGAGGCGCUGUUGACAAGUACCCACACACCUCGUUUUCCUUGCCUUUCGUGAACUUUAGAUGCAGUUCCUGGCGUGGCUUUGACUGUGUUCGUCUUGUUGAAGCCAUCGCCCGAAGUGGAGCUGAAAUAUUUGCACGUUGUAUUCUAAAUCAAAGGAUCAUGUUACUUGGGGAAUGGCUGAUGCAGUUUUUGAAGUCCGUAUCAGGUGGGAGAUGAAAUGAAAUGUUAGGAGUGUUUUGUUUAUUGGUAUGUCUGUACUGUAAAAGAUCAUGUCAAGGGGGAAAAAAAACCCUUAUUAUGUUUAAAGUUUGUGUUAGGAAUGGGUGGUAUUUGUGUGUAUUUAUGUGUGAUGCAUCUGUACUCUAAGGGAUUGCGUUGCGGGAUAAUUCUUUAGUGAAAUUGUUAAAGUUUGUGAGAAGCUGGAAUCUUGACUGGGUGGCAUUUAUUGGCUCAUUAGUAGUUUGAAGUACUAUAUCGCAGCGGAAGUCUCUGAUAUAGUCGUUUAAGUCUUGAUGUUAUGUAAGGACUGUUGGUUACUUCGUAUAUCUGUACUGUAAAAGGUUAUGUUAUUGGGGAGGUCUUUGAUAUACUCGUUUAAGUUUGCAUAAAGUUAAGGCUGUUCAGAUCACGUGUAUUGAAAUGUCUCUACUGUGCAAGCUUAUAUUACUGGAAGACAUUUUUUUAUGCAAUUUUUCAAAGUUCGUUUUAAGUAAAGCUCACAUUUAAAUAAUUUACUUUCGGAGCUUAAAAGUAACAAACAAUGAGGAAGUUGUGUAAAAAUGUCAAAAAAUGUUCUGCUUUCACUACAAAAAAAUUUUUAGUCGUAUUCAUGUUUAAUUGUAGAGAACAGAUAUGGAAAAAAUUACACGAAAAAUGUAAGAAGAAAGAUUGAAA